GGGAACCUGGGAGAGUUUCGGGCCGGGACGUGCGGCGGCGCGCUGGAGGUGAUUUCCAGGCGGAGCUGACCAGUGGGGUUCUCUGGCUGAGGGGAAGACCAGCAGUCAGCUGGUGGAUGUGCUUCUGGAAGAAAUAGCAACGGGAGCUCUAAGAGAGGGAAAUGGCUUCCCUGCAUGGGAGGAGGAGGGGAGCGCUGAAGCUUUCGUGGCCAAGCCCCGGAGCCAGGAUGUCAGGGAGAAGCAGGAGUAUCUGAGCCAGCUGAAGAACAAGCUGGGAGAUCUACUUGUAAGUAUGGAGGGAAGGGGCUGAUGGGGACAGUAG